UACGUGAGCAGCCCACGUGACCCCCCGGCUUGCUCGCCUCUACGAGAAUCAGAACAACCAUUUUACAAGUACAGUAGUUGGUUGUUCAAUAGUAUGUUGAUGAGGUUAUCCAACAUAGAUUCAAUAGGUUAUCUACGCUAUUUUCCUAACUUUCUUUUGGGGUGGAGGGUCUUAGUUAGUAGAAAUUAAACGUGUUCCCAAAGGAUACUGGGAGCGCAGCGAGGGUGGCCCGUUGAGCCCCCUCUGGUUCGAGCGUCGGCAGCCAGGGGGAGGCAGCCGCGGGAGGAGAGGUGGCGACGGCGGCCGAGCCGGCGCCACCGCCGCCGGGGCAGAGGCUUCCGUCGUACCCCUCUAGGUGCCACCUGCGAAGCGACCCGCACCCGCGCUCUACGCGGUAAGCACCGCCGCUGCGACCACGCACGCUCGACGUGAGUGGACGGAGGACGCCCUCACCACCCUCACGGUCGCCGGCUCGACCUACGCACCGGCCGCCACUGGCUGCGCCUGCCCGGUCUAGGCACGCAGGAACCGACGAAGGGGCGCCACCUAGACCGGACCAUGGACCUAGGCACGCACGCAGGCCGAUGUCCGCAGCCGCGCCCCGACCACCGAGCACCUAGAGCGACGUGCGCCGGCCCCGACCACGACCACGAGCGGCUGGUUCGCCCCCUACCCACGCACCUCCUCCCCACCACCCGCCACCUCCACGACGUUGUCGUUCCAAGCUAGGGGGGCGGAAGUCAGACGUGACGCCCGCGAAGCCUAGACCGGAGGCCGUCCGCACGCCACCACGCGCACCCGCGCAGCCGCACGGACUACAUACCGACGUCGGGCCUUGGUACCACCAAGAACCGGAGCCCGUCGCGGGGAGACGAGAAACGGCCGUACCACGAACCACCCCGUGCCACCGAGCGCAACGCAGGCCACCGAGACGCAGGCCAGCCGGAAACCACCUAGACCGCAGAUCACAACUCAAACCGGCAGUCACCAGAGGCGCUCCACGUCGACCGACUCCGCCAACCAGCACGAAGAAGUAGCUACCUCCCAAGCUGCCGCCACCACCAGCCGACGGCAGAACGACAUCCCUACACGAGUUUGAGGCCUAGCCCGAACGGCCUAGCCUACUGCCACAACACACGAGCUGUCGUGAUGGAAGAACCUCCGCAGCAGAACCUCUGGGUUUGUUGCCAACAACAACAAAACAAAGAGAAGCCGACAGGAUGCACACCAGAGGCCGGACGAUGAUACGUACGAGUACUGGGACAAGACAACUCCGCUCGAAGCCCGAGAACCAGAGCAGAACCAAGUGGAAACGAGUUACUGCUGUAUUACUACGGAGGGGCUGAACGAUUAGCAGAACUUGAAAGCACCGCCUCGCGAGUUAGUUCCAAGUACAAUUCGAAACCGUGUUCCACCUCCCUGAGGAGGGGGCCACUAAGAGUCUUGUUUUUGGUGGAGGGUGUAGGGUAGAGGGAAAACGUCCAGCUUGGGAAGGAACGGUUGGUCGGUGCGGGUACGUGCGUGUAUUUUUGGCGCCUUUUGGUGGGCGAGGUGGAUAGCCGCGGCAAAGAAGAGGUGGUAGGUGCCUGAAUGCCAGAUAAUCCCGCUUUUUUUAUAGAGGAUGACAGGAUGUAACAGUGGACGCUUACGCGGCAACGGCGGCGGGCGUGACCAGGGUGCGAUAAGGAACUACCGUACCGGAACAGGAGCAGUACAGAUCGUAGUACGGCAGGCUGUACCCGUGGCAGCGGUACCGGGUACCACAAGGAGGAGCUGCCGUACGGCGCUCUGCGAUGGUAGUUCUACAAACACCGCGGUCUGGGUUGCUUUAGAACACGAACGUAUGACCUCUGGACGCCCCUUCGAGCGAAGGAGAAGGUGUACAUACGUCAGACGCGAUACUACAUGUGGGCACCUUUACUGCUUAGACUCUUCCCAGCUGCGCUCUUCCGUUCAAAUAACUCGGAAUAUUCCAGGCUGCUGCCACUAGCCUAUUGAUAUCGUUCGCGACUUGUAAGUACAUAGUCGUUGUUGUUCCGAAAGAGAAACCAACCACCAGCUUAUCCUCCGAGUCUACGUGGACUAUAGUAUCGGUAACUUACAACAAAACGCUAAGCCCUUUAUUCAGUGCUCCACUGUCGGAACCACGAACCUUUUUAGUGCAUAACCCCCUUAUGUGCUCACUUGUCCCGGUAUGCUACCCCGGUGACGCAUCGCGCGCUCCACACCUAUCUGCCGCGGCACGCCACAACCUAAGACUAGGCACCGGGUAAGACAGUUGGGCACUACGCACAAAACUGAAAACUGGUUCGGCACCGUGUCUGAAACCGCUACCCACAAGUCGCCGGGCAAGGUUUUAGGACCCUACUCUCCCGCAGCCGCGGCCACUUUCCGGUGCCGCUCCGUUACCGCCUCCUGCUGCCCGACCUAAAGGAUGUUCUAGGCCAAAGGGCGGCCCCUAACGUCUAUCGAACCUCGUCGUCCCAGGCCAGGCAGAUGACGGAGAACGACCCUUUCUUAGACUGAACGGAUACCGCCGGCUCAAGUUGCCCUGCAGCCGUACGCGACUUCAAGAACCGUCUGACAGGUCAUGGACACAGUUUCCGUUCUCACCUCGUCUCAUUCUUUCGUAGCGGCUGCGUCAAUCGACUUGGUGUACGUUCACGCAAGACGUACACCGGUAGACACCCUCUCCAGGUCAUGCAAGGUCAACGACCAGAUCUUGCAGUUCAAGGCAGACACGGCUACGACACACCAAGUCUAAAGCUCUCGUAGAUU
rnacentral:rRNA from 1 species